rnacentral:rRNA from 1 species
CACGUAGGGCGCGAGCGUUGUCCGGAAUUAUUGGGCGUAAAGAGCUCGUAGGCGGCCUGUUGCGUCCGCUGUGAAAGCCCCGGGGCUUAACCCGGGUCGGCAGUGGAUACGGGCAGGCUAGAGGUAGGUAGGGGAGAAUGGAAUUCCCGGUGUAGCGGUGAAAUGCGCAGAUAUCGGGAGGAACACCGGUGGCGAAGGCGGUUCUCUGGGCCUUACCUGACGCUGAGGAGCGAAAGCGUGGGGAGCGAACAGGG